rnacentral:rRNA from 1 species
UACGUAGGGACCAAGCGUUGUUCGGAUUUACUGGGCGUAAAGGGCGCGUAGGCGGCUUAACAAGUCACUUGUGAAAUCUCCGGGCUUAACUCGGAACGGCCAAGUGAAACUGUCAAGCUAGAGUGCAGAAGGGGCAAUCGGAAUUCUUGGUGUAGCGGUGAAAUGCGUAGAUAUCAAGAGGAACACCUGAGGUGAAGACGGGUUGCUGGGCUGACACUGACGCUGAGGUGCGAAAGCGUGGGGGAGCAAACAGG